GGGUGAGUAACACGUAGGUAACCUGCCCAUGUGUCCGGGAUAACUGCUGGAAACGGUAGCUAAAACCGGAUAGGUAUACAGAGCGCAUGCUCAGUAUAUUAAAGCGCCCAUCAAGGCGUGAACAUGGAUGGACCUGCGGCGCAUAGCUAGUUGGUGAGGUAACGGCCCACCAAGGCGAUGAUGCGUAGCCGGCCUGAGAGGGUAAACGGCCACAUUGGGACUGAGACACGGCCCAAACUCCUACGGGAGGCAGCAGUAGGGAAUUUUCGUCAAUGGGGGAAACCCUGAACGAGCAAUGCCGCGUGAGUGAAGAAGGUCUUCGGAUCGUAAAGCUCUGUUGUAAGUGAAGAACGGCUCAAGAGGAAAUGCUAUGGGAGUGACGGUAGCUUACCAGAAAGCCACGGCUAACUACGUGCCAGC
rnacentral:rRNA from 1 species